UUAUAUCCUGGAUGUUGUCCGUGUGCUGGUUCGCAAACAGGCCACGGUCACGAGGUCUGGUUUAUAGAUGUGUUGUCCGCCACACACGUUUGCAGGGACACCAACAUGCAUCCAAGGUUGAUAAAUAAAUAAAUAGAGUGACCACAGGUACACUCGCCAGAAACGUACAGAACGACCUUAUAGAGGUAAAGUUGAUCCGCGAAGAUCAGGCGGUUCCACAAGUGUCAUCUGUUGUUGUUCUGUCGAAUUGAACGUGUUGCGGUGCGUAGAUAAGAGCUCCUUGGUGACAUUCGUUGUUUCCGAUUCCGAAUGCAGAAAUGUAUGUCCAGAUACUAAUAUUUGCUAUACACUUGAUCUGGCCUGUCGUUCACAAUUGACUUUUUCAGUGACUAUGUCUUUACAUAGCCUCUACCAGACUCACAACGCUGGCUAUUUAUAGUAGAAUAUUUGCCAGGGGAGUUUGACCGCCUUGUAGGACCUAGUAGGUUUGACUGGCCUUCGGAGGGAAAGAUUUAUAAGGGGGUCAUUUAACUACCUCCUCGCGGCCGGACUCCCUUGGCCAAUUUUAAUCUCUUUUUUCCCCGAAUUCUACGAUCCGUAUUCCCGUAGAAAGGCCUGGUGGAUGCUAGUUUUUAUAUGCCUCAAAUCGCCGCGUCACAAUGUAACGUUGGAUGCACUUUUGUCCGUUUUUGUUGGCACAUAUUUUUCUUUGUAGCGGUUUUAGGACAAACAGUAAAAGGAAACACAACAGAAGAAGAAGAAAGACACACAUUAUUUUUAUAAUCUUCCAUGGGUUUCAUCGUUAUAGUAAAUAAAUGGAACCCGUCAUUUCUUUUCGGCAGCGUUUUGGAAUUUGAAAAGGCUUGCGCUGUGGACAUGUGCUCAUGUUGGUAAUAUAAGGGGCUUUACGUUUUCAGGUUUCGGGGAAGGUUUCUGUUUGUUUACACCGCCGCUACAACAACAAGCUUGACCCCUUUCGCACCAUCCCAUACAGUGACCCUGGCCAGAUGGCCGGAGGUUGCCUCGCACAAGUUGUUGUGGUCAGCAGAAAUGUAGUUAGAUAAUCGUAUUCAUUGUCUUGGCCAAUCAGGCGUAAUUGUCUUACAAUUAGCAAUAUUUAAUCCCUCCCAUAUAUUCCAAAAAUGGACAGAGCUAGCAAAACAUGUUAAUAAGGAUGUGUCCUCGUAUAAAUAUCACCGCGACCUACUCGCAGACUCAUUACGCACGGAAAAAAAAAACCACGUCCAUCGGCGGCGUGACCUCACGACCAGGCCGCGGGACGUGGAGCGCGGGUAGCCCGGCCAAUCUGGAGCAGCGCACGGGCGUAGAAUGCAGGCAGCCCCGGCCAACAGCGCGCGGGCGUGGAAAGCGGGUGUCCCGCGGCCCGGUCAACCCUCGCCGGAGCAGCACGCACACUUGGAAGGCCCCCGGAUUUUAGUCGUGCAGGCACGGAGCUCUACAUGACGACAAACACAAAAGUUACUCAAGAAUACAAGACAGAAGAAGUGGAACAAAAUACCAGGUAAAUUUCGCCAUGUCUCACCCUGAGAUGCAGACUACAGCAGGGAUUCACUGGCAAGCACGAAGCCCAGUCAAGGAAGGAUCGGGGUGUGCAUUCAUGAUUUGCACGCAAGAAGAUUGAAAAAACAAGCAUUGAAUGCAGCAGCAUCGUGAAAGCAAAGAAAAAAUAUGAAUAAAAAAAGCAAGACUGACACAAACACGCAUGGUGGAAAACACACAAAACAUCAUCAUUAGCACACAGUUAAGUUAUAAAUAAAAGCCCAGCAUCAUAUGGUUGAAGCUAAAAACUUACUUAAAACAUUAUUCUUUUAAGCUUGAAUAUGCUGCUCCUUGUUCUUUCUUAUGAGCAACAAAAUUAUUCUGUUUUAUUUUAUUCUAUUU